GGUUCCUUAGCUCAGUUGGUAGAGCAAUGGAUUGAAAAUCCAUGUGUCCCUGGUUCGAUUCCUGGAGGAACCACUA
rnacentral:tRNA from 1 species